rnacentral:lncRNA from 1 species
GUCCGUGACUUUUUGGCUGUGACUUUUUGUCCUACAUUAUUUAUGACCUGUCUUUUUGUAUUAUUAAAUGUAAUUCAAUUACCUGUUAAACGUAAACAUUUCUAAGAAAUAUCUCUUUAUUUUUGGUGAAAUUAAUUAUUGAUCUUUCAAGCAAUGCCGAUAUAUGCUUGAAAGAUCGUCAAUGUCGGAUGACGAAUUUAUAUCUUCUACUUGAUUAUUUUCAACAAGUAACGGCUCAAACUGAUACGGUUGAAUAUCUAAAGUUUAAGAAUUGCCUUGAAAACUGCUGUCAACACCGUCCAUUGUUUAAUUUUACAGGAAUAUGAUCGACUUCGUCCUUUUUGAGACAUUUUCUCAGAUUGUAUCCACUGACGUCAUCACGAUCACGUGACCGGUAUCUCAUUAAAAAUCAAAGAUUACGACAAGCGCUGGAUUCUUUGACCAUUAAAAGGCCGUUAAAUGAGGUUUUGACAAGAAAAAAUUAUUACAAUAUGUUAUUUGACCAAUAUUUAUUAAUUAAUUAAAAAAAAAAAAAAAAAAAAAAUUGUGUCACGUCUCCUUUAAG